ACGGGGCCCGCACAAGCAGCGGAGCGUGUGGUUUAAUUCGAUGCAACGCGAAGAACCUUACCAGGGUUUGACAUGCUUAAAGUAGAAACUCGAAAGAGGGACGACCUGUAUCCAGUCAGGAAUUUGCACAGGUGCUGCAUGGCUGUCGUCAGCUCGUGCCGUGAGGUGUUAGGUUAAGUCCUGCAACGAGCGCAACCCUCGUCGCUAGUUACUUUUCUCUAGCGAUACUGCCCGUAUAACGUGGAGGAAGGUGGGGAUGACGUCAAGUCAGCACGGCCCUUACAUCCUGGGCUGCACACACGCUACAAUGGGUGAUACAACAGGUUGCAAUAGAGCGAUCUGGAGCCAAUCCCUAAAAUCAUCCUCAGUACGGAUUGCAGGCUGCAACUGCCUGCAUGAAGUUGGAGUUGCUAGUAAACGCAGGUCAGCACACUGCGUUGAAUACGUUCUCGGGCCUU
rnacentral:rRNA from 1 species